ACGCCGACCUUGUUCGGCCUCACGCCGUCGGGUUGCGGAAAGCAGUUCAGCUUCAACACGCCGGGGAACAACGCCGGUCGCCGGCCACUCCUCCCCGGCUCUGCCUUGGUUUGGUUUGGCCGCGCGAGCUUGGGGGGCCAGGGGGUGGAAGUGGUGAGCGCAUCGGUGAGAGGUGCGGCCGUGCGGCUCCGGAGCAGGCUGUGGAGGUGGGCGAGGGGUGGAUGAAGGGGGCGCAUCGGAGAGGGUUGCGGUUCCGAGCAGGCGGUGGAGGUGGACGAGGAGAGUGAGGGCGACGCGAGGCAGCCGUAGGUGAGGAGUAGAGAUGCGGGUGCGAAUGAUCGGGCCCCGUCGUUCCGGUGAUGGACGGGGACGAUCCUUUACAACGAUGCAUGCUUAUGUGGGGAUCGUUGCGCAAUUUAGCCAUCCUCGCCGCCGCCGCCGUCUGGACCGUCGUCUUCUCCGGCUGCGACCUUCGUCAACCCAACCUCGACGUCAUGUAGAAGAGAGAGGGACUCAGCGGCUCCUGAGCCCGCGAGCGGAAGGGUGGUACUAGAAUUGGAGAAGCCUGGCUCUUGGUGGCGCCUGUAAUGCAAUGUGAGAGAUAAGUGCUCACUCAUUACUGCAAAGCAUUCUUAACCAUGGAUGGAAUAGCUUUGUUGCAUCAAAUGAUCUAUGUAACCUUUGCUUGUGAAUAACUGGACAUCAUGGGACCAAAUCAACUACCAGUUGGUGGUCGUGUUCUACCAAUUACCAAACUCUUGAAAUCUGAACACAGCAUACAGCACAGAGGGUUCACGUCUAUCCUGGACCAUGGCACUAUGAAUAUGGGAUGCCUCGCACAUAAUUUGCAAGUUAUGUUCAUGUGGGAAAUGAAUUCUUCAUGAUAUUUCAGUGGAAAGAGAAGACAACUGUUAUCACUGUUGGCAUGUCUUGGUCCAACAUAUGUCCUUCCUAACCAAAAAACCUGGAACAUGAUGUGAUGGGCCCCAACUUUUUGCUGGCGUAGAUCCAUUUCCAUGUGGUGCAUCAAGUGACAUGCCAGUGAAUUUUAAUUACCAAGUGUGAGAAGGAUUGGUUCACAUACAUAAUGGCAUUAAUAGUGCAGAGUUAGACUUGGAAACAGAUGCUGCGACGCCCAUGUAGCGAGCGGGACGAUCUGCAGUUUAAUAGUAAUGCUUGGCUUCCCUAGACAGUGCCGAUAGUUGAGCAGGAAGGGACCAUGGAAUUUUACCUGUGUCUAGGCUUUAAAUCAUGUGAUGGUGCUAGAAAGCAAAGGAGAGUGGAGUACCAUCUUGACCCCGGCAACAGCAGUGCCCUACAUCACUACAGAACCUAGUGUGCAAUUUGGACACGAGUACUACCAAUUCUUUGGAUCUGCAGAACUUUUCACAUGGAUUAUUAAUUACCUGCCAGCUGUGAAGCAACAAUACCUUUUGUGAUGGUAACAACUAGUCCAGGGGAUCUAUUCUAAUGCCUUCUGUUGAGUUUCAUUAAGUAAGUUUUUUUCUAAAAUGGCAACAUUUUUUUCCUUCACCAGUUAAUGCAUAUUUGUUUAAUCAAUAAACACACAAAACUAGCGCAUCGUUCCUACUGGAUCUCUUGUAUACCACAUAUAAAUGACAUUUAUCCCGGCUGUAGAGAGCCCUAGGCUCCCUUCUCCCUCUCUUUCUGUGCUUCUUUAUUGAUUGGCCGACACAAAAAAGGAAAAGACUUGAACACUGACUCACUUAUCAUGAAAAAAAUCACCUUCAUACUAUCAGUGGACUAAGACAUGGCUGAUUAAUGGGGAUUAAUGUUCAUAAUAAAAUGUUUUUAAUAAAAUCAUGUAAAACCAAUUUACAUGCAACCCUAUGAACCCUCACAUGUCAGUGUUUCUUUUAAGAAAAAAAAAAUCCAGAAAGAUCAGUUUAUGCACAUAGCAGCGCUUGUGCUUAAGAAUUGUAAAACGGUGAUGAGUGCCCAUAUAUGUAAAAUGAUCUUAAGUCCCAAACACAUUUUGUCCCGUUUCAUUGAAAGGGUGCGGCCACUUUCACAGGAAAGUACCAUGGUAUUUUACCUUGUUUAUAGCCUUUUGGCAUGUGAUAUAAUGAUGUUGCUGGAAAGCAUGUGCACUGGAGUACCAUCUUGCACAAACCAGCAUCAGCAUGUGAUAUAUUUGUCUGGACUUUGGACCACUUAUUCUUUGAUAUGGAAGAGGAUUCUUCAGAUGGUUUAGUCACCUUUGUGAGCUUUCAAGGCAACUACUGUCCUAUUAAUACAACUACUCUUUUGGGUAUGUCGAUUCCUGCGCAGCUACGUUCUUUGAUGAUUUAAUUUCCUUAAAAAAAUGAACAUAUAUGCUGUUACCAAUACUUAAUUUAACACUUUUUGUUUGUUGCAGACAGCUUAACGUCUUCUGUUCACUAGCUAUGAUGCAAUUUAUCAAAUUAUCCAGCUGCAGGCUUGCAGCAAACAAAGAAGGACAUAAUUCAGAUUUAUCUUUUAUCAAUAUAAGGCAUUUUCUUUUGGUCACACAACAUGCAAAAAUUGGCAAUUUUUUUCGCUUCCUUCUAGCUGAAUCUAAUCGAUGUCUAUUCAUAAAUAACAUUUAGUUGUUAAUCCCAUGUCAGGAAGGGCCCUUCCUCUUUUCUGCCUUUCUAUUGGUGUUUCGUUAUUUGAUUGACCCGUAAAGAGAAGAUAGACUCAAAACCUUUCCAUCUAUACCUCAUGUUUGGCAGUUUUAUACACGCCAACUUCAUGCGAAAAUAACCUUUUAUUAUACUGUCAGAGUUCAGGGUCACAUGUGAUUUAGACUUGGCUGACUAAUUGGCCUUAGACAUUGUAGAUGUUUCAUGAUUUAUCAUGGUACCUAGAGAUUUGGUUCCACACAAAAACUGGGGGUUAGAUGAGAUGUGUCGGCAGUGACUUGCACUGCUGCAACAUGAAAAUAUCGUGCUGAUAUCUUCUGGAUGGAAAGAAAAUGCCGUGUCCAGUUUGCUUAGCAGGAUUGGGAGAUGCUGGAAUCAUUUAGUAGCAGAAUCACAUUAUACAGUGAAACGGACAUGCUAUUUCGUCAAGUCAAUUUUGCUGUUCUCAUGUGCAGCACGUGAACUACUAUGAACUGUGUGUCUAUGUGUGCAUGACUGGGGCAGGCACCAAAGUCUUCUCAAGAGGUGACAUCAGGGAUAGAAGUACAAGGCUUGCCUAUAACAUCUGAAAGACACAGUACAAGGAUAGUUUCCACAUGGGGUUGAGACUGGAAGACCUGCCUAAUUGUAGGUAUUGGAAUCUAACCUGUUUCAGAUCUCAAAGUUCAAUUUGUAUCCAGCUCAGUGUGUGUUGAUUUUGUUCAUAAGUCCUGCUCAUUGUGCCCAUCUACAUCGCAUAGCGCGCCUGAAAAUUUGGAUGCUACGUGUGCAACAAGGACACAGGAGAUUGAAAUACUGUUCCAGAAUUGAGGCUUGCUUAUCCAUGCCACGGCCUACAGGUUUAAAUCUUUCUUGUGCAUAUGUUCUCGAAAAAUACUUUUCUUGUGCAUAAACCGUAAAUUGCUAAGUAAUACUACUACGUUAUGGUUCAUCGCCUGGC